rnacentral:rRNA from 1 species
CUGACUGCUAUCGGAUUGAUACUAAGCCAUGCGAGUCUUUGCAGUAAUGCAAGGCAGACGGCUCAGUAACACGUAGUCAACCUACCCUAUGGACAAGAAUAAUCUCGGGAAACUGGGCAUAAUUCUUGAUAGAUCAUAAUGCCUGGAAUGGUUUAUGGUUAAAAUGAUUCGUCGCCAUAGGAUGGGACUGCGGCCUAUCAGCUUGUUGGUGAGGUAAUGGCCCACCAAGGCGAUUACAGGUACGGGCUCUGAGAGGAGAAGCCCGGAGAUGGGUACUGAGACACGGACCCAGGCCCUAUGGGGCGCAGCAGGCGAGAAAACUUUGCAAUGUGCGAAAGCACGACAAGGUUAAUCCGAGUGAUUUCUGCUAAAGAAAUCUUUUGCCAGUCAUAAAACCACUGGUGAAUAAGGGGUGGGCAAGUUCUGGUGUCAGCCGCCGCGGUAAAACCAGCACCUCAAGUGGUCAGGAUGAUUAUUGGGCCUAAAGCAUCCGUAGCCGGCUUUGUUAGUUUUCGGUUAAAUCCAUGUGCUCAACGCAUGGGCUGCCGAAAAUACUGCAUAGCUAGGGAGUGGGAGAGGUAGACGGUACUCAGUAGGAAGGGGUAAAAUCCUUUGAUCUAUUGAUGACCACCUGUGGCGAAGGCGGUCUACCAGAACACGUUCGACGGUGAGGGAUGAAAGCUGGGGGAGCAAACCGGAUUAGAUACCCGGGUAGUCCCAGCUGUAAACGAUGCAGACUCGAUGAUGCAUUGGCAUAAUAGCCAGUGCAGUGUCGCAGGGAAGCCGUUAAGUCUGCCGCCUGGGAAGUACGUACGCAAGUAUGAAACUUAAAGGAAUUGGCGGGG